rnacentral:rRNA from 1 species
GGAUCAUUAGAGAGUAUAACAACUCCCAAACCCAUGUGAACUUACCUAUCGUUGCCUCGGUGGAGAGGGGAUUCACCAAUCAACCUGCGAGAACCCAGUGUUGAAUUACACCCUCAGGGUUGAGGGGCUACUACCCGGGUCUCGCUACCCGGGAGCCCCAGGUGACCUCCCUCGCCGCCGCGGGCCCGCGAAACUCUGUUUUAUUUUGGAACUCUGAAUCUUAAAAAACAAAUAAGUUAAAACUUUCAACAACGGAUCUCUUGGUUCUGGCAUCGAUGAAGAACGCAGCGAAAUGCGAUAAGUAAUGUGAAUUGCAGAAUUCAGUGAAUCAUCGAAUCUUUGAACGCACAUUGCGCCCAUUAGUAUUCUAGUGGGCAUGCCUGUUCGAGCGUCAUUUCAACCCUUAAGCCCCUGUUGCUUAGCAUUGGGAGCCCGCUGGCCCUGGGCCUGCGGCUCCUCAAAGUUAGUGGCGGAGUUAGCGUAUACUCUAGGCGUAGUAAUUUACAUCUCGCCUCUGUGGUUGCGCUGGCGCCUGCCGUAAAACACCCAACUUUAAACUGGUUGACCUCGGAUCAGGUAGGAAUACCCGCUGAACUUAAGCAUAUCAAUAAGCGGAGGAAAAGAAACCAACAGGGAUUGCCCUAGUAACGGCGAGUGAAGCGGCAACAGCUCAAAUUUGAAAUCUGGCCUUCUGGUCCGAGUUGUAAUUUGUAGAGGAUGUUUUUGGCGCGGUGCCUUCCGAGUUCCCUGGAACGGGACGCCUUAGAGGGUGAGAGCCCCGUACGGUUGGACGCUAAGCCUCUGUAAAACUCCUUCGACGAGUCGAGUAGUUUGGGAAUGCUGCUCUAAAUGGGAGGUAAAUUUCUUCUAAAGCUAAAUACCGGCCAGAGACCGAUAGCGCACAAGUAGAGUGAUCGAAAGAUGAAAAGCACUUUGAAAAGAGGGUUAAAUAGCACGUGAAAUUGUUGAAAGGGAAGCGUUUGCGACCAGACCUUUUCCUAGCGGAUCAUCCGGUGUUCUCACCGGUGCACUUCGCUAAGUUUAGGCCAGCAUCGGUUUCUGUAGGGGGAUAAAAGCUUUGGGAAUGUGGCUCCCUCGGGAGUGUUAUAGCCCUCUGCAUAAUACCCUUACGGGGACCGAGGACCGCGCU